GACGAACGCUGGCGGCGUGCUUAACACAUGCAAGUCGAACGAAGUGGCGAACGGGUGAGUAACGCGUAAUCAACCUGCCCUUCAGAGGGGGACAACAGUUGGAAACGACUGCUAAUAACGCAUACUGAAGGAGGGGAUUGCGUCUGAUUAGCUAGUUGGAGGGGUAACGGCCUCCCAAGGCGAUGAUCAGUAGCCGGGCUGAGAGGAUGAACGGGCACAAUGGGACGGAGACACGGCCAAGACUCCUACGGGAGGCAGCAGUGGGGAAGCUUCCGCAAUGGACGAAAGGCGGACGGAGCAACGCCGCGUGAGUGAUGACGGCCUUCGGGUUGUAAAGCUCUGUUAAGCGGGACGCGGUACCGGAAUAGAAAGCCACGGCUAACUACGUGCCAGCAGCCGCGGUAAUAC
rnacentral:rRNA from 1 species